UACGGGGGGGGCAAGCGUUGUUCGGAAUUACUGGGCGUAAAGGGCUCGUAGGCGGCCAACUAAGUCAGACGUGAAAUCCCUCGGCUUAACCGGGGAACUGCGUCUGAUACUGGAUGGCUUGAGUUUGGGAGAGGGAUGCGGAAUUCCUGGUGUAGCGGUGAAAUGCGUAGAUAUCAGGAGGAACACCGGUGGCGAAGGCGGCUUUCUGGACAGUAACUGACGCUGAGGCGCGAAAGCUAGGGGAGCAAACAGG
rnacentral:rRNA from 1 species